AUUGAACGCUGGCGGCAUGCCUAACACAUGCAAGUCGAACGGCAGCACAGCAGUAGCAAUACUGUGGGUGGCGAGUGGCGGACGGGUGAGGAAUACGUCGGAAUCUGCCCAGUCGUGGGGGAUAACUAGCCGAAAGGUUAGCUAAUACCGCAUACGACCGAGAGGUGAAAGCGGGGGGACCGCAAGGCCUCGCGCGAUUGGAUGAGCCGACGUCGGAUUAGCUAGUUGGCGGGGUAAAGGCCCACCAAGGCGACGAUCCGUAGCUGGUCUGAGAGGAUGAUCAGCCACACUGGAACUGAGACACGGUCCAGACUCCUACGGGAGGCAGCAGUGGGGAAUAUUGGGACAAUGGGCGCAAGCCUGAUCCAGCAAUGCCGCGUGUGUGAAGAAGGCCUC
rnacentral:rRNA from 1 species